AUUGAACGCUGGCGACAGGCCUAACACAUGCAAGUCGAACGAGUGGCGGACGGGUGAGUAAUGUCUGGGAAACUGCCCGAUGGAGGGGGAUAACUACUGGAAACGGUAGCUAAUACCGCAUACCAUCGGAUGUGCCCAGAUGGGAUUAGCUAGUAGGUGGGGUAAUGGCUCACCUAGGCGACGAUCCCUAGCUGGUCUGCGAGGUUGACCAGCCACACUGGAACGUAGAGACGGUCCAGACUCCUGCGGGAGGCAGCAGUGGGGAAGUUUGCACAAUGGGAGCAAGCCUGAUGCAGCCCUGCCGCGUGUAUUAAGAAGGCCUUCGGGUUGUAAAGUACUUUCAGCGAGGAGGCGUUACUCGCAGAAGAAGCACCGGCUAACUCCGUGCCAGCCGCCGCGGUAAUUC
rnacentral:rRNA from 1 species